rnacentral:rRNA from 1 species
UACAGAGGGUGCAAACGUUGUUCGGAAUUACUGGGCGUAAAGCGCGUGCAGGCGGCCUUGCAAGUCGGACGUGAAAUCCCACGGCUCAACCGUGGAAGUGCAUUCGAAACUGCGAGGCUGGAGUCCUGGAGAGGAAAGUGGAAUACUCGGUGUAGAGGUGAAAUGCGUAGAUAUCAGGAGGAACACCGGUGGCGAAGGCGGCUUCCUGGACCACAACUGACGCUGAGGCGGCGAAAGCUAGGGGAGCAAACAGG